AUGAAUCCUUCUAUUCUAACCCUGCUAUCCAAAAAAGAGAGCUCCCCACUCCUCAGCGACUUCAAGCCUAUUAGUCUAAUUCAUGGUGUGGCCAAAAUUGUUGCUAAGACCCUGGCUACUUGUCUCGCCCCUUUGCUGCCGCAGAUUAUAUCUCAAGCACAGAGCGCUUUUGUGAACAAAAGGAGCAUACAUGAGAACUUCAAGUUCUUUCGUAAUGAGGCAUGA
rnacentral:rRNA from 1 species